AAUGGCCGCAGUAUUCUUGACUGUGUUAAGGUAGCACAAUCAAUCGCCGCUUAAUUAGCGGAUAGUAUGAAUGGUAAUACGAAAAUUUCACUGUCUCAAAUGUAAAAUUAAAAAAAUUGAAAUAAUAGUUAAGAUGCUAUUUAAAAUUGUAAGACGAUAAGACCCUAUAAAGCUUUACUACUAUCCUUAAAAUUUAAUCUUAAGGAAAAGGUAGUUUACUUGGGGCAAGGGCUUUUUAAAUAAAAAAAAAGUAGGCAAAAUGAAUAAACCAUUUAUUGUAUAAAUCAUAUUUUUAACAAUCACAACGUGGGCUAUAAUGACCCGUUUAUUCUUUAAAAUUAGAUAAACAAUUAUUAAAUAAAAGCUACUUUAGGGAUAACAGGAUAAUUUUAUCAAAGAGUUCAUAUCACUGAUAAAGUUUGUCACCUCGAUGUUGAAUUAAGAUAC
rnacentral:rRNA from 1 species